rnacentral:rRNA from 1 species
UACGUAGGGUGCAAGCGUUGUCCGGAAUUAUUGGGCGUAAAGAGCUCGUAGGCGGUCUGUCGCGUCUGCUGUGAAAACUCGGGGCUUAACCCCGGGCCUGCAGUGGGUACGGGCAGACUGGAGUUCGGCAGGGGAGACUGGAAUUCCUGGUGUAGCGGUGAAAUGCGCAGAUAUCAGGAGGAACACCGGUGGCGAAGGCGGUUCUCUGGGCCUUACCUGACGCUGAGACGCGAAAGCGUGGGGAGCGAAUAGG